GAUGAACGCUGGCGGCGUGCCUAAUACAUGCAAGUAGAACGCUGAAGGAGGAGCUUGCUCUUCUGGAUGAGUUGCGAACGGGUGAGUAACGCGUAGGUAACCUGCCUGGUAGCGGGGGAUAACUAUUGGAAACGAUAGCUAAUACCGCAUGACAACAGUUAUUGCAUGAUAACUGUUUAAAAGGGGCAACUGCUCCACUACCAGAUGGACCUGCGUUGUAUUAGCUAGUUGGUGAGGUAACGGCUCACCAAGGCGACGAUACAUAGCCGACCUGAGAGGGUGAUCGGCCACACUGGGACUGAGACACGGCCCAGGCGCCUACGGGAGGCAGCAGUAGGGAAUCUUCGGCAAUGGACGGAAGUCUGACCGAGCAACGCCGCGUGAGUGAAGAAGGUUUUCGGAUCGUAAAGCUCUGUUGUAAGAGAAGAACGAGUGUGAGAGUGGAAAGUUCACACUGUGACGGUAUCUUACCAGAAAGGGACGGCUAACUACGUG
rnacentral:rRNA from 1 species